AAUAUUUUCGUUUCCUUUGUCAACUUGACAGGACCUUAAGCAAGAGAUAGGCAUUGGGCGCAUUUUAUAGGAGUUCUCCUGGUGAUGCUGAAGCGUGAGUUUGCUGUCAGUGUCUUUAAUCUUAACAUCCUCUUGGAGGGUUUAUGGAAGAAUCUGGAAUACGGCAAGAAUGUUACUUUGCUACCCAAUAGAGUGAGCGUUGCUAUGUAAAUGCAAGCUGAAGCUAAACGUAAAAAGAGAACCCAAACUCUUGAGUCUUAAGGGGAACACCAAGCCCAUAUCAACAUCACUGAUAGUAAGAAAAGUUCUGCAAUCUUCGUAUCAGAAGCUGCAAAGAAAUAGUAAGCCAAUCGAGCAUCAUGUUUGUAUUAACUAUUUAGUUAGAAUGAGCACAUUAUAAUAAGAUGUCAAGUCAUUCUUCGUUGUUAUAUCACAACAUUUCUUUUCUUUAAAAAUAAUUAAAU